rnacentral:rRNA from 1 species
GACGAACGCUGGCGGCGUGCUUAACACAUGCAAGUCGAACGAAAAUACCAAGCUUGCUUGGUUGAUUAGUGGCGAACGGGUGAGUAACACGUGAGUAACCUGCCCCUUACUUUCCUGGAUAACUGCUCGAAAGGGUAGCUAAUACGGGAUAUUCUGGCCUUCCUGCAUGGGUUGGUUUGGAAAGGUUGUUUUUCUGGUAAGGGAUGGGCUCGCGGCCUAUCAGCUUGUUGGUGGGGUGAUGGCCUACCAAGGCUUUGACGGGUAGCCGGCCUGAGAGGGUGGACGGUCACACUGGGACUGAGAUACGGCCCAGACUCCUACGGGAGGCAGCAGUGGGGAAUAUUGCACAAUGGGCGCAAGCCUGAUGCAGCGACGCCGCGUGAGGGAUGGAGGCCUUCGGGUUGUAAACCUCUUUCGUCAGGGAGCAAGGCAUUGCCUUUUUUGGUGGUGUUGAGGGUACCUGGAUAAGAAGCGCCGGCUAACUACGUGCCAGCAGCCGCGGUAAUACGUAGGGCGCAAGCGUUGUCCGGAAUUAUUGGGCGUAAAGAGCUCGUAGGCGGCUGGUCGCGUCUGUCGUGAAAACUUCCGGCUCAACCGGGGGCUUGCGGUGGGUACGGGCCGGCUAGAGUGCGGUAGGGGUAACUGGAACUCCUGGUGUAGCGGUGGAAUGCGCAGAUAUCAGGAAGAACACCGAUGGCGAAAGCAGGUUACUGGGCCGUUACUGACGCUGAGGAGCGAAAGCGUGGGGAGCGAACAGG